rnacentral:rRNA from 1 species
AUUGAACGCUGGCGGCAUGCCUUACACAUGCAAGUCGAACGGCAGCGCGGGGCAACCUGGCGGCGAGUGGCGAACGGGUGAGUAAUAUAUCGGAACAUACCCUAGAGUGGGGAUAACGUAGCGAAAGUUACGCUAAUACCGCAUACGCACUAAGGUGGAAAGUGGGGGAUCUUCGGACCUCAUGCUCAUGGAGUGGCCGAUAUCUGAUUAGCUAGUUGGUGAGGUAAAGGCUCACCAAGGCGACGAUCAGUAGCUGGUUUGAGAGAACGACCAGCCACACUGGAACUGAGACACGGUCCAGACUCCUACGGAGGCAGCAGUGGGAAUUUUGGACAAUGGGGCAACCUGAUCCAGCAAUGCCGCGUGAGUGAAGAAGGCCUUCGGGUU